UACGAGAGGCCCAAACGUUAUUCGGAAUUACUGGGCUUAAAGGGUGCGUAGGCGGCGCGGAAAGUAGGGUGUGAAAUCCCUCGGCUCAACCGAGGAAUUGCGCCCUAAACUACCGUGCUCGAGGGAGAUAGAGGUGAGCGGAACUUAGGGUGGAGCGGUGAAAUGCGUUGAUAUCCUAAGGAACACCGGUGGCGAAAGCGGCUCACUGGAUCUCUUCUGACGCUGAGGCACGAAAGCUAGGGUAGCGAACGGG
rnacentral:rRNA from 1 species